UACGUAGGUGGCAAGCGUUGUCCGGAUUUACUGGGCGUAAAGGAUGCGUAGGCGGAUGCUUAAGUUAGAUGUGAAAAUCCCGGGCUUAACUUGGGAACUGCAUUUGAAACUGGGCAUCUAGAGUGUGGGAGAGGAAAGUGGAAUUCCUAGUGUAGCGGUGAAAUGCGUAGAGAUUAGGAAGAACACCAGUGGCGAAGGCGACUUUCUGGACCAUAGCUGACGCUGAGA
rnacentral:rRNA from 1 species